rnacentral:rRNA from 1 species
AGUAGUUGAUCAGUGGCUCGAGGACGAACGCUGGCGGUGUGCUUCACACAUGCAAGUCGAACGAGGUAGCAAUACCUAGUGGCGGACGGGUGAGUAACGCGUGGGAAUCUGCCUUUAGAUGGGGGAUAACGGGUCGAAAGACUCGCUAAUACCGCAUAUGACGAAAGUUGAAAGGAGUAAUCCGUCUAAAGAUGAGCCCGCGUCCGAUUAGCUAGUUGGUAGAGUAAAAGCCUACCAAGGCGACGAUCGGUAGCUGGUCUGAGAGGAUGAUCAGCCACAAUGGGACUGAGACACGGCCCAUACUCCUACGGGAGGCAGCAGUGGGGAAUUUUACGCAAUGGGCGAAAGCCUGACGUAGCGACACUGCGUGAGCGAAGAAGCCCCUUGGGGUGUAAAGCUCUGUCAGCUGGAACGAAAAAAUGACGGUACCAGCAGAGGAAGCAUCGGCUAACUACGUG